rnacentral:lncRNA from 1 species
CCCCCACCGCAACGGGCUGCCCUGGAGGCCCCAGACACCAAGUCUGACUCAAUAUGGGACUGAGCCUUCAUCCGGGCAGUACAGCAAGAAACCAGCAGACACCCUACAGGGUGAACCACCAGCAUACGUCGUGAUCCAGCUGUACGGCAGCCCAAGUCUGGAUACUUGAACCAUGCCUCCCCCUUCUAUAAACUCAUGCAUUUUGUACGUGUUGCAUCGCAUGCUGAACUACUGGCUACGAUCCGGUAUCAUGCAUUUUUGACUGGUUAAUUAGCUUGUUGCUAAGCGCGCACUCAAAUCAGUACCUACCAAAAUUACAUGUUAAUUGUGAACGACGUCUUUUUAUUUUGAUGCAUCCCAGGAUGACUGUCCUCAUCACAGAAUUUAUUUAAGGUGUCUAGUGACUGCAUUGGAGUCCUUUGAUAAGAGUACAAACAUUUUGCUCAAGUCAGUCCUCCAGCUGCCUGUCAGCUGCAUUAUCAGGAACCCCUUCAUCCCCCUUGCACCACUCAACCAAGGAUUCCCAUUUUUCAGCACUGAAAUAGCUUAGCUUAUAUGGCAGCUGUAACAUCUUGCAGCUCCACAUCUUCUUGUUCUUUUUGUGCAACUUUGAGAAACUGCUGGGUACCUAGCUACAAAAGGCUGUACCACCUCAUCUAUUAACAUUGCUUUGUGAUGACCUGGUGGUUCAACAGCAUCAUCAGCUUCAUCUUAUCACCACCAAUAUUACGCAAACAUAUAUUUCUAUUCUGGGCCUUGGUCUUGCAUUUCCAAUCAAUUCUGCUUGAAAUUGUUUGACAGGAACUACUGGAUCGGGCAGACAACCUUGAGCAGCCCCACCAUCUCUGUGGGCUGGCAACCCAGCACGUUGGCAGCAUGGGGCAGCCUGCGGGGAACAAUUUGAAAUCCCUGCAAUCCCCUCUCCCCCCAAAAAGCAGUUGAACGACAUCACAAAUUUUCAGCUUUAAAUCUCAUCAUGAACUUACUGAAGUACAUUCUUACACUCCUGCGUUCUUCUAUAGCUAACUUGAUGACAAGAGGAAGUAUCACAGAACAUGAACUAGCUCAAAAUUUGGGCUGGCACAGCACAUGGCUUCUGCCUUGGACAUAGUUGCACCAGAGCAACGUGGUGACCUGGAGCAUCUCCAGAACGAGUCUCACCUUCGAGCACAAAUGCCCAGCCGCUCCUGCAGACAGGGGAAUACCCACAGAAAAUAAAGGGAACGGUACUGAAUGUAUGGCGCGCUAG